CGCGCUUGUUAGGCGGCGCGGGCGCGGGAGCAGGUGCCCAGCAGCAGGUGCCCGGCAGCAGCCCGCACCGCACCGCACCGCGCCGCGCAGGAGCGGAGGGGCUCGAGCGAGAGGCGCGGUCCCGGCCGUAAGCAAGAAACUUUCCUCGCUCACAGAGCCCUCUUGGAGCAGCACGGCGCCCCGCUGCCAGGGAGCUCCUGGCGCCGGUCCGGCCCCGCCGCCCUUCUGGUUGCGGAGAGGCGCUCCCGGCCCGACGGACCCCGCGCCGCGUCCGUGCCGGAGGUGCCGCCAAAUCCGGACCGGAGCAGAAGGGAUUCACUGUGAACUAUGAGCGCUGCGACAAAAGUUUUCUAAGUGACAGAUGCGUGCAUAAGUAAACUUGUAUGCAGAAAUUAAAAUCAACUGGAGUUGGUAGCAUCCUCUCUGGAAGUUAAAUAUCGUUCAAAGCUGGGGCGGCACGGGGGUCGGGUUGCGCGUAGCCGAUGGCCUCGGACCGUGCGGGAGUCGGGUAUCGCUGCGGGACGGGCAGCAGCACCGAGGCGGCCGGGGGCAGCGCGACUGCGGCAAGGAGACGGGGGAAGGAAGACGGGCGGAGCGGCAUCGGAGAUAGCAGAAAGAAAAACUCUACUGAGAAGUGUGAAAAGAAAAGGAGGGGGAGGAGCCGCCCACAUGCUGCCAGGAGCCGUCCCGCUGGCAGCUUCUGCUCUCUGCUGUAUCGCUGCCGAACUGGGCGCCAAGACAGGACAUAUGCAAAAUCAUUUCACUGUGGCACAAACACAAGAAACAUGAUUUGGAAGAAAGGACAGGGGCCAGAGUGUCUGUCUCUUAUUCUCCCACUCGCAUUGCUGCAAACUGGAGUAGAAGAGUACUUGGGAGCAGAGAAAGGCACCCUUCUAUCUCUCCCCUCAUUGCAGCUCUGGAGUGAAAGGCACUGUCUACAGCUGACAGCUGUUCUGACAGAAGACCUUCUGAUGUCCCCCACACCACAGCCUGAGAAGCAGCCUGGCAGCCAGGCUAUAGGGAUCCCUCGUUUAUCAGUUAUUUGAUUCAUUCCAUUCAGGCUGAUACAUCUUCCUGGCUUCGUUGCUGUUUGAUUUAACUUCUGUUUCUAGCAUCUGUAGUGGAUUCUUUUAUGUACAACCACCUAAAACCAUGUCUUGUACACAGGUAGCAAAAGCAGUGAUUUGAUAGCGUGGUGUGCAUUUUGGCAAUGUACUUUAUCAAAGAUGUAUUUUGCCUGCAGCAAAACGAGCUGUCAGCUGUUACAAUGAACUGUCACAUAUUCACAUUUUAAUAUGAAAAAUAAUUAUUCCUCCGUUUCUAUUAAACAGCUACCUAUUCUUCAGGCUGGAAAUCAGAACUGCUUUCACAGAGUAUCCAGCUCGCUACUGAAAAGAUUAAAUGGGUCGAGUGUAACACUGUAAAUAUGAUCAAGGCAAAAAGCCAGUCAAUAAAACUGACGGUUUUAUCCUAAUAAAGCAGGGAGGCCUCUGCCAUUUCUCUGUGGCAGAUAGUUAAUUGUCCAGCUGUACGCAACAACUUCAGGACAUCUGGCCACUUAACCAAAGAGUACAAGGUUUGGAAUGCCAAAGGACCCAUAAGUGAAAUAAUGAGUGGUCUGACUCAUUUAUAGUGAAGUCCCUGCACACGGCUCUGACAUCAGUGGUCAAAGCUAAAUUAACGUGACUGCAAGUACUGCUCUUACUUCAUCCCCAACACCUGCCUUAAGAUACAGCUGGGUGCACCAAGAGCAGCAGUGGUCCCAGCUGGGACACAGACACAACAGUCUCAGCCGAGAUAGGGUGGCUGCCUACUGCUCUGCUCUGCAACAAGGUUGUGGCUUACCUGUAUCCUAAUUUAGGAUGAAGAAUGAGUUUGAAAAGUAUGACAAACAUACAGUGCAGUCAACACUUGGUACUGCCUCUGCGUAAAAUUAUGAUUCUUUGCUUCAGUCACCCUAAAAGCAGCUUCAGCCCAGGCUGAAACAUAGUGGAGUUAUACAACUAACCCAGCCAUCUCCUCCCCCUGCAAGCCCUUCCGUGAGACCACAGGUAGUACUGCACACACAGAGAUCACCUUGCUUUAUCAUACACAUGAAACUAACUUUUGUUGUUAUAGUUCAGGGCUUAAAAAUAGACUUGAUGUAUGGAUUUUCUGUUUUAUAGGCAGAGGAAAGAUUCAAUAUAUUGAUUUGAGCUGUAAGGCUUACUUCAUUCAGGGUGCAAUCAAAGCAUGUGGAUUUCUACAACUUUGGGUGCACAGUUUUGGUCAGACUGCAGGUGCAGAAGUUGUUAGGCAAGCCUGCAGGAGCAUGUUAGUGGGCAACGCUGACAUGUCUGCAUGCUUUCAUUCCUAAAAUGAUCCCAUGUCUUGUGCUUUUAGUGAAUUCAUUUCCUCCAGGAUAGCUCUAGAGAGCAGUUCAGAGACACCUUCCAAUAAGGUAACUUCCCUCACUGCCAUUUUAUCAAGACUUAACAUCACUCCUUUCCAUGUGGUGAGUUUAAUGCAGGUAUCUUUGUUAUCUCACAAGAAAGGCAGUGAUGAACUUGGAAGGCCAAGAAGCUUUGGUGAUUCUCCUCCCCUGCCUGUACUCUCAGGAUCAAUUAUAAGGAGGCUAGGCUACUGCAUAUGCAAUUUACUGGAGAAGUGAUAGGAAGUUUUACCAGCUUACCUGUUUCAUUCUACUAGCAAGUUAUCACACAGCAGCCCCCAGGCACCCCCAGACUACAGAGGGCUUCCUAAAUACAGGAAUGAAGCAUUAACCCAUCACACAGAGAAGGAAAAUAAGAUAAGGACACUGCAAGCCAGGGGUAAAAACAGGACAAGACACCAAAUAUCCCUCUUCUCAAGGUGAAUUUCUCCUCUACUGAAAUGGACGACUGUCCAUCACCCACCAUUUUGCUUAUGCUUGUUCAGUUGCAAAGAAAUCUAUCUGAUGAAGUGAAACACCACCUCCAAGAAAUGAGGUAGCCGUUAAGUGAGAAUACUAGAUUCACACAAGCUUCGUGGCAGAUGCCUUAGGACUGAUCUGUUCAACCUGGAAUGGAAAACGAUUUGCUUUUUUUUCCUUCCCACAGGGCAUAAGUCUUCCCUGUCUCUCUGUUGUGCUAGUGAAAGCAAAUUUCACCAGAAACUGAAUCCAUUUACAAAUAUUUUGAUAGAUUGAGACAGCUGCUCAGGAAAAAAGAAAGAUUAAACACAUGCAGUUAAGAUACAGUGUCACACGAACAGCUGUUGCAGAGACCCACAGCCUAUGUGGACUUCAUUUUAUUUAUGUCUUUUAAAGAUCAUGUGGGUUUCCCUGUAAAAUAGAAAUAAAGUGAGCACUAUUUCUGUUGGUAAUAAAUUAAAGAAAAAUCUCAGAUAAUUUAUCCUCCAAAAUGCACAGUCUUGACUGUUUUUACUUGUUUUGGCAGGAAGACAGAAAUGCAAAAUGUACAAGCACUGCUCUUGUAUACACUCACGUCUCAUUCUAUAGAUCUGGUUGGCAACUCCUUCUGAGGCUCUCAGUUUCUGACUGGAACAGGUCAUUAUGUGUGCACCUCAAUCCAUCACUUCCGAAGCAUCCUGUGAAGAAAUUGCCAUUAGAAACCAGUGUAGCGAAACCAACUACCUUCUAUCUAAAAGCAUGACUUGCAUUUUUGUAUCACAUCUCAUUCUUUUUAUUCCUAACAUUACCUAUCUAUCUGUAUAGUUACUUUCUGUAGCAGCAGAGAUCAUGCUGUAUCUAUUUUUACUGCACCAAUUACUGCUAUUUUAAGACUGUAUAGAAAUGUCUACAAAUAAAGAUUAGCUGAAAGUUCCCAAUGCUUUCCCAUUGCAACUGUCAUUUGAACCUUAUUAUAAAAGCCCGUACCUAUAGCAGUUAUAAUUGAUUGUUUUAAAUUCUGGACACCUGAACAGUGCAGUACUCAUGUUUCAAAUACCAGGAUCAGUCUACAAACAAAGGGCAACAGAUUUCAGAUGCAGCUGUUGCACUGAGUGACACAAACGGACAAAUUGCUUCUCCAUAAAUGCUACCAUUUACUAUACCUCUCUUGUCCAGGCUCCAUACUGAGUAAUCGCUAUCAGCACAAAACUGCGAUGCUUUACUGCAUAUACACAUUACAUUUUCUUACCUUUACAGAACUAGAGGUACAUAUUUUGACACAUAAAUGCACAUGCUUAAUCCAUCACUGGAAAAGAAAAUGUAAGUGAAGGAAAAUAACUCUCUGUACGUAUGUAUGUAUCACUGAGAGUUCAAACAAAUCUUCUUUUCAGGUGAUAAGACCACAAUACACAGGGAAAAACAAGCUAGUUCAAUAGGAUCAGAACUUAAACAGAAAAUGCAGGGUGCUCAGAUUACAGCAGUGAAGUAGCUGUGCAUGGUCAGAGCUGCAUUUCACGUGAGCUACCCUCUGUGACACUCAUCGGGUGAACAGGAAGGCUACCUCAGAGCUCUUCACCUGUUGACACCUGCCUGGUGGCGGCUGGAACAGGGCAGGACAAGGUAGGGUCCUGCAGUGCUGAACAGGCUGCUCGUCUUCAGACAAUCAGUACCGCAGGAUGUCUUUGCUCUUUUGAAUGUAAGAAGUCAUGCAGCACCCAGCAUGAGUCCAUAAAGAAUUUAGGGGUGAAGAAUUUAGGCUAGCUUGAAGGCAAAUCUCACAAGAGUAACAGUGCCAAGAGUUUUUAAAGAGGAAGCUUUUUGCCCCCUGACAAAAAGCUGAUAAUAAAAAUAACCUAUAAAUGCCCUAUUCAAAUGUAUAAGAUGUCUCUUAAUGCUUGUUGUUCUCCAAGAGCUUUUCUUGUCAAAUUCUACUUUGCAGCUAAUGAAAAAAAAUGUCUCCAGUGUUUCAUAAUGACAGGACACAGCUAGUUUAACACUGCUGAGGAUUAAGGAGGCCUUGAACACAGCAACGUUUGUUGUUUGCCACAUCAGAAAACAAAUGCCGAACCACUUCAUUCAGGGUCUUCUAUUCAUCAAUCUCUUAAAAAAAAAAAAAAAAGCAAAAAAGAAGGAGCAAAACAUCAGGACUAGAAAUAACACUGUGUGGAACAACAUUCUCAGCACUAGCGCCAGCUCACUGGGGAGCUGCUGCUUGUGAAGCGGUGUCCUGGGUUACCAUCAUGCAAAGCUCAGGGACUAUUUAGCCCAUAUUUUCUUCUACUUCAAAAGUUUAGUGGAGAGCAGCUAAGCUCAUCUUUAAGAAAUCUGCUCGUAGGGCUGGCCAUUGACAGCUAGAUUAUCUCUUUGUAUUAUUUUUCUUUUGAAAUUUUGUCAUUUGAUAACACAGUCCACUUUGCAUUUGCUGAGGUCAGUGGGAGUCUGACCUCUGAUUAAAAAGCUUUUUUUGCUCAGAGUCAAAAGACAAAAAGCACCUACAGUUUCACACGGGACUGUAGGAAAACAUAUCACGUCACGACGUGGACAACAAAGAG
ensembl:lncRNA